UGGAACUCACCAACCUUUAUGGAGGGCUGUGGGGUCCAUGGCCAGGGUGCCUCUACCUAGGCAUUUCUAGGAAUGAACAAUAGGAGACAGCGCUGAGGUAUGAGGGUGGCCCAGAGGCAUCUUUACCCAAGGGACCAUGUCUGGCUGAGGGACCCAGGCAGUCAGCUGGAGAGGCCCUACCCACCAUGGUUGCUCACAGCAAUGAAGUUCCAUUCAUUAGUACUCGCUGCCCCCUUGUACCCAAGACCAAGAAGAGGGCAACUGAGUUUCUGAGCUGAAAACACACUGGUGGUUGGACAGCCCUUUCCCCAGGAGACAUCGGGACAAGGAUGGAGCAUGCUGGUCCACGGAGCCCUCAGCAACCGAAGAAAGAAUGGCUGGGACUUGUCACAACCUGAGCCCCUUGAGCACAGCUCCUGUCUAGCCUAUCUGCUUCCCAUUUUCCUUCUGCACCUGUUUGUCAGGGCUAGCCACACCGUGGGCCUUCCCUCUGCACCCGAGAGUCUGACUCCCUCACCGGUCACUACUCUAUGUCAACCAGUGAAUCUAGAAAAAGCCCAAAUGAGCAGUUUUAUGAAACAGGCUUGUCAAUAGAAAACAA